GGCCCGUGCGUGCGCGUGACGACAUCCUGUUAUAUACGCGCGCGCACACGCGCACACACACAUUUAUACGGCGCGCGCGUGUUUCUCUCGGGCUCGUAGAAGACUCCUCGGGACGCGGGUCACGCCCCGAACGACGACGCGCGCGCGUACCCCGCCGGCGCCGCCGGUACGUACGGUUUUUAACGAACCCCGCGUACGCGCGGUACACACGCACGCGCGGUACGCGUACAUUAUUGUGUGUGUGUGUGUGUGUGAUACGUUAUUAGGAAUUUUGUUUCACUUUUUUUUUCUUUUUUUUUUUUUACGGUUCUAUUUGGUUUUCUUGUUUUUUUUUUGUUUAUGCCGCGAAGAGACCGGGCGCCGGCGGAAUUAGGACGGUGUGAUGGAACGACGAACGGUUAGGGUGGUGUUUUUUUUUUUUUUUUUUUUUUUUUUUUUUUAGUUGUUUUCUGAUAUAUAUAUAUAUACGAGUACAAUAUAUAUGCAUAUAUAUAUAUAUAUAUACAUAUACACACACACAAAUACAUUUACAUAUAGAUAUAUAUGUGUGUAUGCGCGAAGACCUUGGAAAAAAGGAUAAAAAAAAAAAUAAAUACAAUUAUUAAAAUAAUCCCAAGCGUAAAAUGUCAAAAAAAAAAACAAAAAAAAAAAAACGUAUUACACAAUGCUAAUAACAAAUAGAAUUGAUAAGCACAAAAAAAGUUUAAACUUAAAGAAAAAAAAAUAAAAACAUUGGUACAUGUUUAAAACAUAAGAAUAUAAUAUAAUGUAUAUGGGUAAUAAUAUAUAAGUUCCUUUUUUGGAACGCUAAUUUUUUUUUUUUUUUUUUUUUAAUAACAUACAAAAAUCGUAUUACAGGUAUUGAUUUUUUGUUUUUUUUUGUUUUUUAUUUGAUUGUACAUCAUAUUUUAAUGGUUUUAUCGUUCGGACGCGGAAAAGGGUUGCACGCGAAGAAGAACGAAAAGAAAAACCGUAGUAAAGAUUAUAAUAUACGAUCAGCAAACACACGCACGCACACACACACACACACACACACACACACACAUUGUAAAAUAUCAUAUAGAGUUAAAGAGAGAGAGAGAGAAAGAGAAAGAGAAAGAGAGAAAGAGAGAGAUAGAGAAAAAAAAAAGUAAAAAACAAUUAUUACCGUCUAAUGUAAAGUAUUUAUUUUCAUUUUUUUUUUUAAUUUUACAUACACAUAUUAUAUAUUAUUAUAAUAAUAUAUCUACUCGUCCUAAUUUUUAAAUAUAUAUAUUUAUUAUUAUUAUUAUUAUUAUUAUUUUUUUUUUUUUCAUUUUUCAAAUAUGUUUUUAUCAUCGUUUUUAUCAAUUACACAUUCACAAAUUACACUUAUCAAUAUAUUAUUAUUAUUAUUAUUUUUUUUUUUUUUUUCAUAAUAUUAUAUAAUAUAGAAACACAAGAGCGACCCGGUUCCGCCGCGCGCGUUUCGCGCGGCGCUCGUAAUACAACAAUAAAAAAAAUAAUAACAUCGUAAUUAUCGUAACGUUUUCGGUCGGCGGCGGCCGAAACGUCUCGGGAUAUUCUUCUCGCCUCUUUCGCGUUUUACCACCGACGAACCGAUCGUUUCGCCCCGUCGACAACGACCACGACAAAAAACGAUAUUCUAUUACGUACAUAUUAUUACAACGGGCCCGCGACAAAACAAACACACACACACACACACACACACACACACUGCGAAACGGGCGCGCGCGCACACACACAAAUAAAAUAAUACAUAUUUAUAAAUACAAUCGACCUCGACUCGCCGCGGUAUGCAGGAAACUUAUACCGAUGAUUUUUUUUUUUUAUUCAGUUUUUUAGUUUUUUUUUUUGUUUUUGUUUUUUUCGCGGUCCGUUCGAGGGGAGGUUUACGCGUCGGCGUACGGCGAUAAAAGAUUCGAGAAGAAACAAAAACCAUCGUUAUUAAUUGCCCACGCACAGUUCCCGGACGCGUUAAGAAACAAAAAAAAAUAGGUACAGGCAAACAACACCGCGCACGUUUCUCCUCGGACUUUUAUCGUAUUGCCGCUAAAAUUCUUUUGCUUUUCUAACGCUAAGCGGACAACGACGAAACGAAAAUUUUACAGAAAAAUUGAUGGGUCCGGAAAUAUUAUUAUUAUUAUUAUUAUUAUCGUUUGUACUGGCCAACUCGGUUUUUUUUUUUUUUUUUUUAUAUUAUAGUAUCGCAAAUAAUAAAAACACAAAUAAUAACAUUAUUACACGGCGAGAUCGCGUUGAUGUCGGUCUCGUAUAACGUUUGGUUUUUUUAUUUUUUUUUUCGUCUAUUUCUUUUAAUACACAGGCGCCGCGCCCGGAAAUUAUCGAGGAAAACAAAAAAACAAAAAAAAAAAAAAACAAAACAAAAAACAAAAAAAAAAAAAACACAAACAAAGAAAAAUAAAACCGAACCGCGCGCGAGGCGUCGCGUAAAAUAAUAAAAAAUAAUAAAAAUGGCUUGACACUUCCCUCAGUCUCAAAAAUUAUUAUAUCUCGAAAACAUAUUAUAUAUAUAUAUAUUAUUUAAAACGCGUGUUUUUCGCUUAUUCUUUUUUCGUAAAUAACACGUGUAUAUAUAGUAAAACUUAAAAUCAUAAGUAUAUUCAUAUUGUAUAUGUACAAAAAAAAAAAAAAAAAAAGAAAAAAAAGAGGUCACUAUUAUAGUUAAGUAUAUAACAUACUUAUUAAUAAUAUAUGUAUAUUUUGUUUUUUUUUUUUUUCAAAAAAAUCGUUAUAUAGGUAUAAUAUUCUCUUUUUAUUUAGACAAAAAAAAAAAAAAAAAAAAGGAAAAAAUC
rnacentral:lncRNA from 1 species